AUUGAACGCUGGCGGCAUGCCUUACACAUGCAAGUCGAACGGCAGCACGGGAGCUUGCUCCUGGUGGCGAGUGGCGAACGGGUGAGUAAUACAUCGGAACGUACCCAGUAGUGGGGGAUAACGCACCGAAAGGUGCGCUAAUACCGCAUACGACCUACGGGUGAAAGCGGGGGACCGUAAGGCCUCGCGCUAUUGGAGCGGCCGAUGUCUGAUUAGCUAGUUGGUGAGGUAAAGGCUCACCAAGGCUUCGAUCAGUAGCUGGUCUGAGAGGACGAUCAGCCACACGGGGACUGAGACACGGCCCAGACUCCUACGGGAGGCAGCAGUGGGGAAUUUUGGACAGUGGGGGCAACCCUGAUCCAGCAAUGCCGCGUGAGUGAAGAAGGCCUUCGGGUUGUAAAGCUCUUUUGUCAGGGAAGAAACACCGGCUCUAACACAGUCCGGGAAUGACGGUACCUGAAGAAUAAGCACCGGCUAACUACGUGCCAGCCGCCGCAGUAA
rnacentral:rRNA from 1 species